ensembl:rRNA 5S_rRNA 5S ribosomal RNA
GCCUGCAGCUAUACUACCUUGGGUUAUGAUCUUCGAGGCUCCUAGGACAAGCAAGGUCAGGCUUGGUCAAUACUCAGAUAGGACACCUACAAGGAAACCCAGGUGCUGCAAGUC